GCGAGGUAGGCCAACCGGUAUGCAAAGCCGUUCACACGGGUUCGAGUCCCGUCGCUCGCU
rnacentral:tRNA from 1 species